rnacentral:rRNA from 1 species
UACGAAGGUGGCAAGCGUUGUCCGGAAUCAUUGGGCGUAAAGAGCGCGUAGGCGGUCCGGUAAGUCCGCUCUGAAAGUCCGGGGCUCAACCCCGGGAGGCGGGCGGAUACUGUCGGGCUAGAGUCCGGAAGAGGCGAGUGGAAUUCCUGGUGUAGCGGUGAAAUGCGCAGAUAUCAGGAGGAACACCGAUGGCGAAGGCAGGUCUCUGGGCAUUAACUGACGCUGAGGAGCGAAAGCAUGGGGAGCGAACAGG